AACGCACAUUGCACUCUCUGGUAUUCCGGAGAGUAUGCUUGUUUGAGUAUCAGUAAACACCUCAAAUCUCUUUUUUAUUAAAGAGAAUUGGACUUGAGCAAUCCCAACUCUGUAAAAAGAGGCGGGUUGCUUGAAAUGCAGGUGCAGCUGGACAUUCUUCUGAGCUAAAAGCAUAUUUAUUUAGUCCCGUUAAACGGAUUAUUACUUUUGCUCUAGCUAAUAUAAAGGUCGAAUGGACUAUACGCUGACUGAUGCAGGAUUACCAAGUCUCUGUCAAAAGGAGACUUGUAAACUCGAUCUCAAAUCAAGUAAGACUACCCGCUGAACUUAA
rnacentral:misc_RNA from 1 species